rnacentral:rRNA from 1 species
CGUGAAUUCGCCCUUAGAGUUUGAUCCUGGCUCAGGACGAACUCUGGCGGCGUGCCUAACACAUGCAAGUCGAACGGACGAGGAGGAGCUUGCUUCUCCAAGUCAGUGGCGGACGGGUGAGUAACGCGUGAGUAACCUGCCCUUCAGAGGGGGAUAACGUCUGGAAACGGACGCUAAUACCGCAUGACAUAUUUCCAUCGCAUGGUGGAGAUAUCAAAGGAGCAAUCCGCUGAAGGAUGGACUCGCGUCCGAUUAGAUAGUUGGCGGGGUAACGGCCCACCAAGUCGACGAUCGGUAGCCGGACUGAGAGGUUGAACGGCCACAUUGGGACUGAGACACGGCCCAGACUCCUACGGGAGGCAGCAGUGGGGGAUAUUGCACAAUGGGCGAAAGCCUGAUGCAGCAACGCCGCGUGAGGGAAGACGGUUUUCGGAUUGUAAACCUCUGUUCUAAGUGACGAACAAAUGACGGUAGCUUAGGAGAAAGCCCCGGCUAACUACGUGCCAGCAGCCGCGGUAAUACGUAGGGGGCAAGCGUUGUCCGGAAUUACUGGGUGUAAAGGGAGCGCAGGCGGGAAGACAAGUUGGAAGUGAAAUCUAUGGGCUCAACCCAUAAACUGCUUUCAAAACUGUUUUUCUUGAGUAGUGCAGAGGUAGGCGGAAUUCCCGGUGUAGCGGUGGAAUGCGUAGAUAUCGGGAGGAACACCAGUGGCGAAGGCGGCCUACUGGGCACCAACUGACGCUGAGGCUCGAAAGUGUGGGUAGCAAACAGGAUUAGAUACCCUGGUAGUCCACACCGUAAACGAUGAUUACCAGGUGUUGGAGGAUUGACCCCUUCAGUGCCGCAGUUAACACAAUAAGUAAUCCACCUGGGGAGUACGACCGCAAGGUUGAAACUCAAAGGAAUUGACGGGGGCCCGCACAAGCAGUGGAGUAUGUGGUUUAAUUCGACGCAACGCGAAGAACCUUACCAAGUCUUGACAUCCCUUGACAGACAUAGAAAUAUGUUUUCUCUUCGGAGCAAGGAGACAGGUGGUGCAUGGUUGUCGUCAGCUCGUGUCGUGAGAUGUUGGGUUAAGUCCCGCAACGAGCGCAACCCUUAUGGUCAGUUACUACGCAAGAGGACUCUGGCCAGACUGCCGUUGACAAAACGGAGGAAGGUGGGGAUGACGUCAAAUCAUCAUGCCCUUUAUGACUUGGGCUACACACGUACUACAAUGGCGUUAAACAAAGAGAAGCAAGACCGCGAGGUGGAGCAAAACUCAGAAACAACGUCCCAGUUCGGACUGCAGGCUGCAACUCGCCUGCACGAAGUCGGAAUUGCUAGUAAUCGUGGAUCAGCAUGCCACGGUGAAUACGUUCCCGGGCCUUGUACACACCGCCCGUCA